GUGAUGCUGCAGUGAAUCAGUGUAAACAGGCAAUAUGUAAUGUUGCACAAGGACUCUGUUCUUCAGGUAACUGAGGAAACAGCAAAGCUAACAGCUCCUCUCUGCCAAUUGCCUCCUCCUCACGCUUUUCCCCUGCUCCACAAGCUGCAGUUUCUUCAGGAAUAUCCACCUGUUCCCAU